rnacentral:miRNA from 1 species
UAGUAUACAAAUAAUGAAUGUAGUUAUGAGUGGAAUGGCAAGAAUAUUUUCAUGAGGUGAAAGAUGGAAUGUUCUAUUCAACGAGGCGACAACCGAGUUGUAUGGAACAUUCCAUCUUUCACCGAAUGAAAAUAUUCUUACCAUUGCACGAAUAAACAUUUAUUAUUUGUUUUAUA